ACCAGUCUUCUCCUGCCCUUGGCACCACUGGUUCUCAGGCCUUCAGGCUUAGGCCUCAGACUGGGAUCUACACCAUUACUCUUCAGCUCUCAAGCCUUCAAACUUCAUCGGCAUCCCUGGGAUUUCCAGCUUGUACACAGCAGGACACUGUCUUGUUAAUUUGGCUGCCUCCCUGGACCCUCUCUAGAAAGUUAGAACUUUGUGUAUGAGAUGUCCAUCACUUGUGCUCUCAGCCCAUCAGCCAGAACUCAGUGACCGGGUCUCAUGUGUAAGCAGGUAUGCAAUGGGAGGGAGGGGAGCAGCUGGAGAUGGGAUCGCUGGUGUACAUCUGCUUCCAGAAACAACUCCACACUACAUGAGAGUGACUAUCUUCAGAAAAACGGACUCUUACAGCUGCUCUUGGGAACGCAUCCCUGCUGACCAUAAAUGUCACGCCCAGGAGAGAACACGAGCGGAGGAGGCAGGAUCCACAAGCAGGACGGAGACCAGAGACACACCCUGAUCGCAGGUGGAGGCGAAGACACAUGCUCUCCCUGUCCCAGUUAUGCAUCCAUGUUUCGUUUCCCUUUUCUUCCUAGUUGGGGCUCCUUUGAUCAAGGGGUUCUGAAAGACUUGCAUUCAUACCUUUGGGCACAGGGCCUUGUUCCUGGCCCUUCUCAAUGGUGUUCUUGUUUUCGGGCACCACUGGCCUGGACUGUGGCCGUGUGUCUGUCUUCCUUGUUUGCUCAGUUCGUUCUUCCAGAGCCUUGCCCUCCCAUAACCUGGUGAUAAAAAUCACUCUUAAGUUUCA